rnacentral:tRNA from 1 species
GGCACUUUGGCCGAGUGGUUAAGGCGAAAGACUUGAAUCUUCAAGGCAUCUUUUGGGAUUUUCCCGCGCAGGUUCGAGUCCUGCAGGUGUCG